CCAAGAAUAUCCCCUCUUCUGCUACAUGUGGACUCAUGUAGAAGAGCUGGUAGACUUUCUAAAACACUUUCCAAAAGACAUCUUUCAGAAUUCAGUC
ensembl:misc_RNA